rnacentral:rRNA from 1 species
AGUGAACGCUGGCGGUAGGCCUAACACAUGCAAGUUGAACGGCAGCACAGUAAGAGCUUGCUCUUACGGGUGGCGAGUGGCGGACGGGUGAGGAAUACAUCGGAAUCUACUUUUUCGUGGGGGAUAACGUAGGGAAACUUACGCUAAUACCGCAUACGACCUACGGGUGAAAGCAAGGGAUCUUCGGACCUUGCGCGAUUGAAUGAGCCGAUGUCGGAUUAGCUAGUUGGCGGGGUAAAGGCCCACCAAGGCGACGAUCCGUAGCUGGUCUGAGAGGAUGAUCAGCCACACUGGAACUGAGACACGGUCCAGACUCCUACGGGAGGCAGCAGUGGGGAAUAUUGGACAAUGGGCGCAAGCCUGAUCCAGCCAUACCGCGUGGGUGAAGAAGGCCUUCGGGUUGUAAAGCCCUUUUGUUGGGAAAGAAAAGCAGCAGGUUAAUACCCCGCUGUUCUGACGGUACCCAAAGAAUAAGCACCGGCUAACUUCGUG